rnacentral:rRNA from 1 species
GAACGUACGCUGGCGGCACGCCUAACACAUGCAAGUCGAACGAAGUAGCAAUACUUAGUGGCAGACGGGUGAGUAACAUGUAGGUAUCUGCCCUUUGGCCUGGAAUAACACGAGGAAACUUGUGCUAAUACCGGAUAAGUCUUUACAGAGAAAGCUUUAUGCACCAUUGGAUGAGCCUGCACUUGAUUAGUUUGUUGGUGGGGUAAUGGCCUACCAAGACUGUGAUCAAUAGCUGAUUUGAGAGGAUGAUCAGCCACAUUGGGACUGAGACACGGCCCAAACUCCUACGGGAGGCAGCAGUGGGGAAUCUUGCACAAUGGAGGAAACUCUGAUGCAGCGAUGCCGCGUGAGUGAAGAAGGCCCUUGGGUUGUAAAGCUCUUUCGUCGGGGAAGAAAAUGACUGUACCCGAAUAAGAAGGUCCGGCUAACUUCGUGCCAGCAGCCGCGGUAAUACGAAGGGACCUAGCGUAGUUCGGAAUUACUGGGCUUAAAGAGUUCGUAGGUGGUUGAAAAAGUUAGUGGUGAAAUCCCAGAGCUUAACUCUGGAACUGCCAUUAAAACUUUUCAGCUAGAGUAUGAUAGAGGAAAGCAGAAUUUCUAGUGUAGAGGUGAAAUUCGUAGAUAUUAGAAAGAAUACCAAUUGCGAAGGCAGCUUUCUGGAUCAUUACUGACACUGAGGAACGAAAGCAUGGGUAGCGAAGAGGAUUAGAUACCCUCGUAGUCCAUGCCGUAAACGAUGUGUGUUAGACGUUGGAAAUUUAUUUUCAGUGUCGCAGCGAAAGCGAUAAACACACCGCCUGGGGAGUACGACCGCAAGGUUAAAACUCAAAUGAAUUGACGGGGACCCGCACAAGUAGUGGAGCAUGUGGUUUAAUUCGAAGAUACGCGCAGAACCUUACCAACACUUGACAUGUUCGUCGCGACUCUAAGAGAUUAGAGUUUUCGGCUCGGCCGGACGAAACACAGGUGCUGCAUGGCUGUCGUCAGCUCGUGUCGUGAGAUGUUGGGUUAAGUCCCGCAACGAGCGCAACCCUCACUUUUAGUUGCCAUCAUUAAGUUGGGCACUCUGAAAGAACUGCCAGUGAUAAGCUGGAGGAAGGUGGGGAUGACGUCAAGUCCUCAUGGCCCUUACGUGUUGGGCUACACACGUGCUACAAUGGUAUCUACAACAGGAAGCAAGACUGCGAAGUUAAGCAAAUCCCUAAAAGAUACCUCAGUUCGGAUUGCACUCUGCAACUCGAGUGCAUGAAGCUGGAAUUACUAGUAAUCGUGGAUCAGCGUGCCACGGUGAAUGCGUUCCCGGGUCUUGUACACACCGC